CCAUUCAGGUUCAAAUCCUGGUUCUGGCAUCUUCUUUGUGACAGGUGUCCUUGGCUUCAUUUUAGGACCCUGCACAUUUAUUUUCCUUAUUUCCCUGGUGAUCCGUCACUGCAGAAAGAAAGAAAAGUGCAAAGGUUGGUUCUCACAUUCUUCAAGCAAAGAUCCAGGAAAGAAGAAACUCCUGAGUGAAGAAGAUGAGCUGGGAAGUGAGGAUGCUGAAUUUGGAGAAAGUGGAAUGUGAUUUGAAGAAGAAAUAGAUGUCUGUAUUCAAAAAUUUCCCACAUUUUGGUCCAGAUUAGAGGCUGAGAAAACAGUACUGUCUACAUCCAGAUAAAAUAAUGCUGUCUUAACAUUCCAUUUUUAUGUGGAUGAUCCAGAAAUAAAUACCUGGUCAUUUUUAAUUAUACAA